rnacentral:rRNA from 1 species
AUUGAACGCUGGCGGCAUGCCUUACACAUGCAAGUCGAACGGUAACAGGUCUUUCGGGAUGCUGACGAGUGGCGAACGGGUGAGUAAUACAUCGGAACGUGCCUAGUAGUGGGGGAUAACUACUCGAAAGAGUGGCUAAUACCGCAUGAGAGCUAUGGAUGAAAGCAGGGGACCUUCGGGCCUUGCGCUACUAGAGCGGCCGAUGGCAGAUUAGGUAGUUGGUGGGAUAAAAGCUUACCAAGCCUGCGAUCUGAAGCUGGUCUGAGAGGACGAUCAGCCACACUGGGACUGAGACACGGCCCAGACUCCUACGGGAGGCAGCAGUGGGGAAUUUUGGACAAUGGGGGAAACCCUGAUCCAGCAAUGCCGCGUGCAGGAUGAAGGCCUUCGGGUUGUAAACUGCUUUUGUACGGAACGAAAAGUCCUGGGUUAAUACCCUGGGAUCAUGACGGUACCGUAAGAAUAAGCACCGGCUAACUACGUGCCAGCCGCCGCUGUAACAC